rnacentral:rRNA from 1 species
UGGGGGAUAUUGCACAAUGGGCGAAAGCCUGAUGCAGCGACGCCGCGUGGGGGAUGAAGGCCUUCGGGUUGUAAACUUCUUUUGCUCUGAACAAGGCGCACCAUGGGGUGUGUUGAGUGUAGGGGUUGAUUAGCGCCGGCUAACUACGUGCCAGCAGCCGCGAUAAUACGUAGGGCGCGAGCGUUGUCCGGAAUUAUUGGGCGUAAAGGGCUUGUAGGUGGCUGGUUGCGUCUGUCGUGAAAGCUCAUGGCUUAACUGUGGGUUUGCGGUGGGUACGGGCUGGCUUGAGUGCAGUAGGGGAGGCUGGAAUUCCUGGUGUAGCGGUGGAAUGCGCAGAUAUCAGGAGGAAUACCGGUGGCGAAGGCGGGUCUCUGGGCUGUUACUGACACUGAGGAGCGAAAGCAUGGGGAGCGAACAGG